rnacentral:rRNA from 1 species
CCUACGGGUGGCAGCAGUGAGGAAUAUUGGUCAAUGGGCGGAAGCCUGAACCAGCCAAGUCGCGUGAGGGAUUAAGGCCCUGCGGGUCGUAAACCUCUUUUGCCGGGGAGCAGUGGUCCGGACGCGUCCGGACCGGGAGAGUACCCGGAGAAAAAGCAUCGGCUAACUCCGUGCCAGCAGCCGCGGUAAUACGGAGGAUGCGAGCGUUAUCCGGAUUUACUGGGUGUAAAGGGCGUGUAGGCGGGCUUGUAAGUCAGAAGUGAAAUCUGGGGGCUUAACCCCCAAACUGCUUUUGAAACUGCGGGUCUUGAGUGAUGGAGAGGCAGGCGGAAUUCCCAGUGUAGCGGUGAAAUGCGUAGAUAUUGGGAGGAACACCAGUGGCGAAGGCGGCCUGCUGGACAUUAACUGACGCUGAGGCGCGAAAGCGUGGGGAGCAAACAGGAUUAGAUACCCGAGUAGUC